AUGGCAUCGUGGCCAACUACUGCUGGCUGCUGGUGGAGGGCCUGUACCUGCACAACCUGCUGGGCCUGGCCACCCUCCCCGAGAGGAGCUUCUUCAGCCUCUACCUGGGCAUCGGCUGGGGUGAGUGGGCUGGCAUGAGAGGGGGUUAAGGCAGGCUGACCAAGCCUUUGGGACCACAGCUGCUGCCCCCCACAGGUGCCCCCAUGCUGUUCGUCGUCCCCUGGGCAGUGGUCAAAUGUCUGUUCGAGAACGUCCAGUGCUGGACCAGCAAUGACAACAUGGGCUUCUGGUGGAUCCUGCGGUUCCCCGUCUUCCUGGCCAUCCUGGUGAGGAAAUGAAGAGCCAGGAGCGCACCCCAGGCCCCUCCUCCCUUGGCGUCCUGAGGCUGCCCCAGGAGACAGCAGCAUCCUGUCUGAGAGUGCUGGGAGGGAGCCGGCACCCAGACAGGACACCAGGACACUGGCCAGCACCCUGGACACUGAGCCAGGCUGUUCCUCCCUGGCUGUGUGCCCACCAGCCCCA
rnacentral:sRNA from 1 species